GAUGAAGAACGUAGCGAAAUGCGAUAAGUAAUGUGAAUUGCAGAAUUCAGUGAAUCAUCGAAUCUUUGAACGCACCUUGCGCCCUUUGGCUAUUCUGAAGGGCAUGCCUGUUUGAGUAUCGUGAACACCUAAACUCUCAUGGUCUGCCAUGAUGAGCUUGGACUUUGGGGGUCUUGCUGGCCUACUGUCAGCUCCUCUCAAAUGAAUCAGCUUACCAGUGUUUGGUGGCACCACAGGUGUGAUAACUAUCUACGCUUGUGGUUUUCUGCCAGGUAACCUCCAGUGAUGGAGGUUCGCUGGAGCUCACAAAUGUCUCUCCUCAGCGAGGACAGCUUUUUGAACGUUUGAUCUCAAAUCAGGUAGGACUACCCGCUGAACUUAAGCAUAUCAAUAAGCGGAGGA
rnacentral:misc_RNA from 1 species